ensembl:lncRNA
GCACAGCAGCUCUGCAAAACCUGGCAACAAGUUGUUUUUAGGGGCCUUUUCUCACUUUUGGCGCAUUGAUUUUUGCAUCACUUUGGAUUUUGCCGCUGUUUCUUCCAUUCUUUUGUAUUUUGUUUUCUAAAAAUGCACAGCGUCUUCUUAGAUUUUUCUCCGCUGAUGGGUUUCUAGUAGUAUUUAUUCAGUUUCUUUCUUUUUUUUGGAUGGAAAUUUGUCAAGGUGUUGUUUCGCCAUGUGAUGGGCCUUGUUCCACCUGGACUGUCGGGGCGCCAUUUCUGACGGGUAACCUGCUCGGGGUGGGCUCGUUGUCUGGAUGACCACUGUGGAUGACAAGCAGAGAAUGUGACCGGUAUCUGUGCGCGGUACACAUAUGUGUUUUAAAGACCUGUCCUUCUUCAGCGACUGGCGUGAAGUAUCGCACCUCUUUCGUCUUUACUCUGUUUCUCCUUCUAUUUCCUUCCCAUGUCCUCUCUCUCUCUCUCUCUCUCUCUCUCUCUCUCUCUCUCUCUCUCUCUCUGUGUGUGUCCGCCUCUCGCUCCCUCUUGUUCCCUCUCUUUCACACCGACUCGCUCUCCUAACAGGAGAAUGAGUGGUGUGCUGAGCCGGAUCUCUUUCUGGGACAGGUGCCAACUGCAAAGAAAAGACAUUAAAAGGCCUCACCAGGCCUAGACCCAGCCGGUGGCAGGCGAGCCGUGCAGCCCUGAGCUUGGGGCUCAGACUGUGGCUGGAAGAGAGAAUGAGGCUGGAGCUGAGGCACGGCUGUGAAGGGGGCAGUCUGAGGGGGGAAAUAAGAAAGAACUACCGAAACGGGAGCUUAUGGCAUUCUCCUCUUCUUGACAGAGAUGUGGAUCAAAGCGGGAAGAGCUGCCGACUUUUGCAUCCCGACUGGACAUUUACCAUCUCCGGCACUGAGAUGGGUUUUGACUUCAGCCACAGGCACAGAAGAAAUUGGCCAACAAGGCCAGACAGACUGGCGAUCGCAGCAGCAUUAAGUAACGAAGGCUACCUGACAUGCUGCUGAAACCCUGAUGGAAGGAUUUGCUGCGUGUUACAGAGCAGUGGCUGUAAUCUCAUCACAUGCCGUUGUUGGAGCUUUUGGAUCUGGAUCAACGCUGGAAUGUGCGUGUUUACCCACUGACUGCUAAGAACCUUUACAGCCUUUGAUAGCGGUGAGUCAUUUAGGGUUGUGGCUGCGUUACACUGUUUUCUCAUUGUUUUCACUUGAAGACUUUGUGGUCAAUAAAACAUGUUUUGUCAGAAGUGUUUUGCUGGUUGUUUGUGUGCCAAAUAAACUCCAUUAAAAAUCAUUUCUUUAUGCACAAACCUGCUCUUCUACUUUGUCAAAGCUCUCUUGCAAUGUUACUGUUUAAGAAAUGAAAACUCGACUUUGUUUUAUUGUCUGUAAAUGUAAGUUGCUUUAUAUGUGAAUUAAUGUAAGUCAAAUGUACAAGGGUGUUUUUAUGCACAGCGUUUAUAUGUCACUCCACCUCGAAGUCGCACCAAAGCUUGCCAACCUGUACGACCUCUCUGAUGUUCGAACAGGGUGAGGUAGUAGGUUGUGUGGUUUCAGGGUAAUGAUUUUGCCCAAUAAGGAGAUAACUAUACAACCUACUUCCUUCCCUGAAGGGCAGCAAUACAUCACUAUACAGACUGCAGAGGGGGCGUCUUGCUCCCAGCAUCAGAAAAACUUGACCCUGAUCUACAAACCUGACCCUGAGCCACCAGUCCACUUCUUACCUGGAACGUACACAUCCACAGCCAAUCACAGCAACAGAGAGGACCUGCAGGUAAAGCCUGUUCACUGUGGGAUUUGUGUUUGAUUCGUUUUUUUCUGCUUCAAACUUUAAUAAAGAAUAAUAUCAUAAAUCAGUUUGUCUUUGCCCGUUUAUUUCAGUUCUUAUACUUGUUCUCACAUCCUGUUAGUUUCAAUUGCAAUCAUGUGUGUAUAUAUAU